AACGAACGCUGGCGGCAUGCCUAACACAUGCAAGUCGAACGAGACCUUCGGGUCUAGUGGCGCACGGGUGCGUAACGCGUGGGAACCUGCCCUUAGGUUCGGAAUAACUCCCCGAAAGGGGUGCUAAUACCGGAUAAUGUCUUCGGACCAAAGAUUUAUCGCCUUUGGAUGGGCCCGCGUUGGAUUAGCUAGUUGGUAGGGUAAAAGCCUACCAAGGCGACGAUCUAUAGCUGGUCUGAGAGGAUGAUCAGCCACACUGGGACUGAGACACGGCCCAGACUCCUACGGGAGGCAGCAGUGGGGAAUAUUGGACAAUGGGCGAAAGCCUGUUCCAGCAAUGCCGCGUGAGUGAUGAAGGCCUUAGGGUUGUAAAGCUCUUUUACCCGGGAUGAUAAUGACAGUACCGGGAGAAUAAGCUCCGGCUAACUCCGUG
rnacentral:rRNA from 1 species